AGCUUUGCGCAGUGGCAGUAUCGUAGCCAAUGAGGUUUAUCCGAGGCGCGAUUAUUGCUAAUUGAAUAUAAAACUGAGAAAAUAACCUCAUAUAUGUAUUUUAAAAGCUUCAUGACUUGCCUAAAUUGCUUCUCUAGGC